rnacentral:rRNA from 1 species
AUAAGGGCGCACGGUGGAUGCCUUGGCACUAGAAGCCGAUGAAGGACGUGACUAACGACGAAAUGCUUUGGGGAGCUGUAAGUGAGCAAUGAUCCAGAGAUGUCCGAAUGGGGGAACCCGGCAGGUAAUGCCUGUCACUCAUUACUGUUAAGGUAAUGUAGAGGAAGACGCAGUGAACUGAAACAUCUAAGUAGCUGUAGGAAGAGAAAGCAAAAGCGAUUGCCUUAGUAGCGGCGAGCGAAACGGCAAGAGGGCAAACCGAAGAGUUUACUCUUCGGGGUUGUAGGACUGCAACGUGGACUUAAAGAUUAUAGAAGAACUACCUGGGAAGGUAGGCCAAAGAGAGUAAUAGCCUCGUAUUCGAAAUAGUCUUUAUACCUAGCAGUAUCCUGAGUACGGCGAGACACGAGAAAUCUCGUCGGAAUCUGGGAGGACCAUCUCCCAACCCUAAAUACUCUCUAGUGACCGAUAGUGAACCAGUACCGUGAGGGAAAGGUGAAAAGCACCCCGGGAGGGGAGUGAAAUAGAACCUGAAACCGUGUGCCUACAACAAGUUCGAGCCCGUUAAUGGGUGAGAGCGUGCCUUUUGUAGAAUGAACCGGCGAGUUACGAUAUGAUGCGAGGUUAAGUUGAAGAGACGGAGCCGUAGGGAAACCGAGUCUUAAUAGGGCGCAUUAGUAUCAUGUCGUAGACCCGAAACCAUGUGACCUACCCAUGAGCAGGUUGAAGGUGAGGUAAAACUCACUGGAGGACCGAACCAGGGCACGUUGAAAAGUGCUUGGAUGACUUGUGGGUAGCGGAGAAAUUCCAAACGAACUUGGAGAUAGCUGGUUCUCUCCGAAAUAGCUUUAGGGCUAGCGUCGAUGUUAAGUCUCUUGGAGGUAGAGCACUGUUUGGGUGAGGGGUCCAUCCCGGAUUACCAAUCUCAGAUAAACUCCGAAUGCCAAUGAGAUAUAAUCGGCAGUCAGACUGCGAGUGCUAAGAUCCGUAGUCGAAAGGGAAACAGCCCAGACCACCAGCUAAGGUCCCAAAAUAUAUGUUAAGUGGAAAAGGAUGUGGGGUUGCACAGACAACUAGGAUGUUAGCUUAGAAGCAGCUAUUCAUUCAAAGAGUGCGUAAUAGCUCACUAGUCGAGUGACCCUGCGCCGAAAAUGUACCGGGGCUAAAACAUAUUACCGAAGCUGUGGAUACCUUUAUAGGUAUGGUAGGAGAGCGUUCUAUGUGCGAAGAAGGUGUACCGUGAGGAGUGCUGGAGCGCAUAGAAGUGAGAAUGCCGGUAUGAGUAGCGAAAGACAGGUGAGAAUCCUGUCCACCGUAAGACUAAGGUUUCCAGGGGAAGGCUCGUCCGCCCUGGGUUAGUCGGGACCUAAGGAGAGACCGAAAGGUGUAUCCGAUGGACAACAGGUUGAUAUUCCUGUACUAGAGUAUAUAGUGAUGGAGGGACGCAGUAGGCUAACUAAACCAGACGAUUGGAAGUGUCUGGCCAAGCAGUGAGGUGUGAUAUGAGUCAAAUGCUUAUAUCUUUAACAUUGAGCUGUGAUGGGGAGCGAAGUUUAGUAGCGAAGUUAGUGAUGUCACACUGCCGAGAAAAGCUUCUAGCGUUAAUUAUACUCUACCCGUACCGCAAACCGACACAGGUAGUCGAGGCGAGUAGCCUCAGGUGAGCGAGAGAACUCUCGUUAAGGAACUCGGCAAAAUGGCCCCGUAACUUCGGGAGAAGGGGCGCUGACUGAUGGUCAGCCGCAGUGAAUAGGCCCAAGCAACUGUUUAUCAAAAACACAGCUCUCUGCUAAAUCGUAAGAUGAUGUAUAGGGGGUGACGCCUGCCCGGUGCUGGAAGGUUAAGAGGAGUGCUUAGCGUAAGCGAAGGCAUGAAUUGAAGCCCCAGUAAACGGCGGCCGUAACUAUAACGGUCCUAAGGUAGCGAAAUUCCUUGUCGGGUAAGUUCCGACCCGCACGAAAGGCGUAAUGAUUUGGGCACUGUCUCAACGAGAGACUCGGUGAAAUUUUAGUACCUGUGAAGAUGCAGGUUACCCGCGACAGGACGGAAAGACCCCAUGGAGCUUUACUGCAGUUUGAUAUUGAGUAUCUGUACCACAUGUACAGGAUAGGUAGGAGCCUAUGACCUCGGGACGCCAGUUUCGAGUGAGGCGUUGUUGGGAUACUACCCUUGUGUUAUGGCUACUCUAACCCAGAUAGGUUAUCCCUAUCGGAGACAGUGUCUGACGGGCAGUUUGACUGGGGCGGUCGCCUCCUAAAAGGUAACGGAGGCGCCCAAAGGUUCCCUCAGAAUGGUUGGAAAUCAUUCGCAGAGUGUAAAGGUAUAAGGGAGCUUGACUGCGAGAGCUACAACUCGAGCAGGGACGAAAGUCGGGCUUAGUGAUCCGGUGGUUCCGUAUGGAAGGGCCAUCGCUCAACGGAUAAAAGCUACCCUGGGGAUAACAGGCUUAUCUCCCCCAAGAGUUCACAUCGACGGGGAGGUUUGGCACCUCGAUGUCGGCUCGUCGCAUCCUGGGGCUGGAGCAGGUCCCAAGGGUUUGGCUGUUCGCCAAUUAAAGCGGCACGCGAGCUGGGUUCAGAACGUCGUGAGACAGUUCGGUCCCUAUCCGUCGCGGGCGUAGGAAAUUUGAGAGGAUCUGCUCCUAGUACGAGAGGACCAGAGUGGACUUACCGCUGGUGUACCAGUUGUUCUGCCAAGAGCAUCGCUGGGUAGCUAUGUAGGGAAGGGAUAAACGCUGAAAGCAUCUAAGUGUGAAGCCCACCUCAAGAUGAGAUUUCCCAUGAUUUUAUAUCAGUAAGAGCCCUGAGAGAUGAUCAGGUUGAUAGGUUAGAAGUGGAAGUGUGGUGACACAUGUAGCGGACUAAUACUAAUAGCUCGAGGACUUAUCC